rnacentral:rRNA from 1 species
CGAGGAAUAUUGGUCAAUGGGCGGAAGCCUGAACCAGCCAUGCCGCGUGCAGGAAGGAGGCCCUACGGGUUGUAAACUGCUUUUACCCGGGAAGAAACCGCCCCCUGUGGGGGGCGUUGCCGGUACCGGGGGAAAAAGGAUCGGCUAACUCCGUGCCAGCAGCCGCGGUAAUACGGAGGAUCCGGGCGUUAUCCGGAAUUACUGGGUUUAAAGGGUGCGUAGGCGGGGCUUUAAGCCGGCGGUGAAAUGCAGCGGCUCAACCGCGGGAAUGGCGUUGGGACUGGGGAGCUUGGAUACGGUCGGGGCGGGUGGAACUCGUGGUGUAGCGGUGGAAUGCAUAGAUAUCAUGAGGAACGCCGGUAGCGAAGGCAGCUCGCCGGGCCGGUAUUGACGCUGAGGCACGAAAGCGUGGGGAUCGAACAG